ensembl:lncRNA
AUACAACGAUAAUAAAUCAUGAACUUGUUAGUUUUGACUUUACCAUUUGACGCUACCAUUCUCCUCGGCUCCGGUGAACGGUUUGGAACAGAGUCAGAGGGUGAAUGGACGCAGAGAGGAUGGAGAGGAAACAGAGAGGGUAGAGAGGAAGCAGAGAGGAUGGAGAGGAUGCAGAGAGGGUGGAGAGGAAGCAGAGAGGAUGGAGAGGAAGCAGAGAGGGUGGAGAGGAAGCAGAGAGAGUGAGAGGAAGCAGAGAGGAUGGAGAGGAAGCAGAGAGUGGAGAGGAAGCAGAGAGGAUGGAGAGGAAGCAGAGAGGAUGGAGAGGAAGC